CAGAGGUGGCAAGCGUUGUUCGGAAUUACUGGGCGUAAAGGGCGCGUAGGCGGCCAUCUAAGUCAGACGUGAAAUCCCCGGCUUAACCUGGGAACUGCGUCUGAUACUGGACGGCUCGAGUUUGGGAGAGGGAUGUGGAAUUCCAGGUGUAGCGGUGAAAUGCGUAGAUAUCUGGAGGGACACCGGUGGCGAAGGCGGCAUCCUGGACCAACACUGACGCUGAGGCGCGAAAGCUAGGGGAGCAAACGGGAUUAGAUACCCCGGUAGUCCUAGCCCUAAACGAUGAAUGCUUGGUGUGGCGGGUAUCGAUCCCUGCCGUGCCGAAGCUAACGCAUUAAGCAUUCCGCCUGGGGAUACGGUCGCAAGGCUG
rnacentral:rRNA from 1 species